AUUGAACGCUGGCGGCAGGCCUAACACAUGCAAGUCGAACGGUAACAGGAAGAAGCUUGCUUCUUUGCUGACGCGUGGCGGACGGGUGAGUGAUGUACGGGAAACUGUCCGAUGGAGGGGGAUAACUACUGGAAACGGUAGCUAAUACAGCAUAACGUAGCAAGACCAAAGAGGGGGAGCUUUGGGCCUCUUGCCAUCGGAUGUGACCAGAUGGGAUUAGCUAGUAGGUGGGGUAACGGCUCACCUAGGCGACGAUCCCUAGCUGGUCUGAGAGGAUGACCAGCCACACUGGAACUGAGACACGGUCCAGACUCCUACGGGAGGCAGCAGUGGGGAAUAUUGCACAAUGGGCGCAAGCCUGAUCCAGCCAUGCCGCGUGUAUGAAGAAGGCCUUCGGGUUGUAAAGUACUUUCGGCGGGGAGGAAGGGAGUAAAGUUAAUACCUUUGCUCAUUGACGUUACCCGUAGAAGAAGCACCGGCUAACUCCGUG
rnacentral:rRNA from 1 species